AGUGAACGCUGGCGGCAGGCCUAACACAUGCAAGUCGAGCGGCAGCGGGCCGUAGCAAUACGAUGCCGGCGAGCGGCGGACGGGUGAGGAAUACAUCGGAAUCUACCCAGUCGUGGGGGAUAACGUAGGGAAACUUACGCUAAUACCGCAUACGACCUGAGGGUGAAAGCAGGGGACCGCAAGGCCUUGCGCGAUUGGAUGAGCCGAUGUCGGAUUAGCUAGUUGGUGAGGUAAAGGCUCACCAAGGCGACGAUCCGUAGAUGGUCUGAGAGGAUGAUCAGCCACACUGGAACUGAGACACGGUCCAGACUCCUACGGGAGGCAGCAGUGGGGUAUAUUGGACAAUGGGCGCAAGCCUGAUCCAGCCAUGCCGCGUGUGUGAAGAAGGCCUUCGGGUUGUAAAGCACUUUUGUCCGGGAAGAAAUCUUCCGACCUAAUACGUCGGGAGGAUGACGGUACCGGAAGAAUAAGCACCGGCUAACUUCGUGCCAGCCGCCGCCGUAA
rnacentral:rRNA from 1 species